UACGUAGGGUGCGAGCGUUGUCCGGAAUUACUGGGCGUAAAGAGCUCGUAGGUGGUCUGUCGCGUUGUUCGUGAAAUCUCACGGCUUAACUGUGAGCGUGCGGGCGAUACGGGCAGACUAGAGUACUGCAGGGGAGACUGGAAUUCCUGGUGUAGCGGUGGAAUGCGCAGAUAUCAGGAGGAACACCGGUGGCGAAGGCGGGUCUCUGGGCAGUAACUGACGCUGAGGAGCGAAAGCAUGGGGAGCGAACAGG
rnacentral:rRNA from 1 species